UGCGUAGGUGGUUUUUUAAGUCAGUGGUGAAAGCCUACAGCUCAACUGUAGAGGUGCCAUUGAAACUGAAGAACUUGAGUAUGGACGAGGUAGGCGGAAUUUGUGGUGUAGCGGUGAAAUGCAUAGAUACCACAAAGAACACCAAUAGCGAAGGCAGCUUACUGGACCAUAACUGACACUGAGGCACGAAAGCGUGGGUAGCGAACAGGAUUAGAUACCCUGGUAGUCC
rnacentral:rRNA from 1 species